UUUUAACUCCAACCCUGUUCCUGGAGAGAUACCUUCCUGUAGGUUUUAACUCCAACCCUGUUCCUGGAGAGAUACCCUCCUGUAGGUUUUAACUCCAACCCUGUUCCUGGAGAGAUACCCUCCUGUAGGUUUUAUCUCCAACCCUGUUCCUGGAGAGCUACCCUCCUGUAGGUUUUAUCUCCAACCCUGUUCCUGGAGAGAUACCCUCCUGUAGGUUUUAUCUCCAACCCUGUUCCUGGAGAGCUACCCUCCUGUAGGUUUUAUCUCCAACCCUGUUCCUGGAGAGAUACCCUCCUGUAGGUUUUAUCUCCAACCCUGUUCCUGGAGAGCUACCCUCCUGUAGGUUUUAACUCCAACCCUGUUCCUGGAGAGAUACCCUCCUGUAGGUUUUAACUCCAACCCUGUUCCUGGAGAGAUACCCUCCUGUAGGUUUUAACUCCAACCCUGUUCCUGGAGAGCUACCCUCCUGUAGGUUUUAACUCCAACCCUGUUCCUGGAGAGAUACCCUCCUGUAGGUUUUAACUCCAACCCUGUUCCUGGAGAGUUACCCUCCUGUAGGUUUUAACUCCAACCCUGUUCCUGGAGAGAUACCCUCCUGUAGGUUUUAUCUCCAACCCUGU